rnacentral:rRNA from 1 species
UACGUAGGGGGCGAGCGUUGUCCGGAAUUACUGGGUAUAAAGGGAGCGUAGGCGGGUUUGUAAGUUGAAUGUGAAAUUUAUGGGCUUAACUCAUAAACUGCGUUCAAAACUGCAGAUCUUGAGUGAAGUAGAGGCAGGUGGAAUUCCUAGUGUAGCGGUGAAAUGCGUAGAUAUUAGGAGGAACACCAGUGGCGAAGGCGGCCUGCUGGGCUUUAACUGACGCUGAGGCUCGAAAGCAUGGGGAGCAAAC